UACGUAGGGUGCAAGCGUUAAUCGGAAUUACUGGGCGUAAAGCGUGCGCAGGCGGUUAUGUAAGACAGGGGUGAAAUCCCCGGGCUUAACCUGGGAACUGCAUUUGUGACUGCAUAGCUAGAGUACGGUAGAGGGGGAUGGAAUUCCGCGUGUAGUGGUGAAAUGCGUAGAGAUGCGGAAGAACACCAGUGGCGAAGGCGGUCAACUGGCCUCAGAUUGACACUCAGACGCGAAGGCAUGGGUAGCGAACGGG
rnacentral:rRNA from 1 species